rnacentral:rRNA from 1 species
CUACGCACUCCUACGGGAGGCAGCAGUGGGGAAUAUUGCACAAUGGGCGCAAGCCUGAUGCAGCCAUGCCGCGUGUAUGAAGAAGGCCUUCGGGUUGUAAAGUACUUUCAGCAGUGAGGAAGGUGGGUAUGUUAAUAGCAUAUUCAUUUGACGUUAGCUGCAGAAGAAGCACCGGCUAACUCCGUGCCAGCAGCCGCGGUAAUACGGAGGGUGCGAGCGUUAAUCGGAAUUACUGGGCGUAAAGCGCAUGCAGGUGGUUUGUUAAGUCAGAUGUGAAAGCCCGGGGCUCAACCUCGGAAUUGCAUUUGAAACUGGCAAACUAGAGUACUAUAGAGGGGGUAGAAUUUCAGGUGUAGCGGUGAAAUGCGUAGAGAUCUGAAGGAAUACCGGUGGCGAAGGCGGCCCCCUGGACAGAUACUGACACUCAGAUGCGAAAGCGUGGGGAGCAAACAGGAUUAGAUACCCUGGUAG